rnacentral:pre_miRNA from 1 species
ACUCAUCUCCAACUCAUCUCUGUUCACAACUCAUCUCUGUUCACAACUGAACAGAGAUGAGUUGUGAACAGAGAUGAGAUGUGAACAGAGAUGAGUUGUGAAAACGAUAG